AGCGCUCUCCAGACGUUUAACACAGUCUGGAUAAAACUUCAUGCACAGGAAGUCAUCCUCGCACGUCAAAACACCGAUGUCCCUGAAUGCAAAGGGGACGUGCUCCUUGUUCUUCAGGAGGCAACAGUACAAGAGGACGGUCUCUUGCACACACUCCUGCACCACGUACAGCAAAGGUCCCGAGCAUCUCCUCAGGUCAUCAAAACUCCACCUGAGGCACACAGACUUGGGUCCUGCUGGGCUCGGGACAAUGUGGCAGCCAGGACUCCUGGCUCCUGAUGCUAGGGCUGUCCUCAGCCUUAGGGCUCCUCUGGGCAUGGCUCAGCCUCCUCGUGAUGGGGACAAUCCAGGGCCAGGUUUCCCUGGGAGCUGGUGCCUCUUUGCGAUCUGGCUCUGUGAGGAAAGACCUCUGGUGUCCCAGAGACUGGUGUGGCCUGCAGCUCCACAGGCCUCUCAGGAAUGUCCCAGGAAUACCCGCAUGGUGUUUUUCUGGGGGGCUCGCAGACUGAGGCUAUCUGGGAUGCUGUAUCCGAGCA
rnacentral:lncRNA from 1 species